CUGGUGUCAAGAAGUGGGACCAAAGUGAGCUCACCUUGAUGGAUCGGUGACUCCUGGAAUCACAUGAAGUUCCCACAUUGAGCCCCUUUGAGCUCUCCAAUCCUACAGCUCACCUUUUCUGUCAUGGUGAAUCUCCUCUCAGGUUCUUGAACUCCCUCAUUUUGCCAUUAUACAAUUCAGUGAGUCCUAGCUGAAAUGUAAAAACACCUGAGAAACUAACCACUAAAUUUGAGGCUUUAAAAAAAAAAGGUUCUUCAGUUUUGAGACCUGGACUGGGUUUCCUUGCUCCUCAAGUUUGCAGACAGCCUAUUGUUGGACCUUGUGAUCAUGUAAGUUAAUACUUAAUAAACUCCCCUAUAUAUCUAUAAACAUAUAUAUAUAUGUAUGUAUGUUACGUAUGUAUGUAUGUAUGUAUGUAUCCUAUUACUCUGUCCCUCUAGGGAACCCUGACUGAUACAGUUUAUGUCACUUUUUUUUUUUUUGAGAUGGAGUUUUGCUCUUGUCCAGGCUGGAGUGCAAUGGCACGAUCUCUGCUCACUGCAACCUUUGUCUCCCAGGUUCAAGUGAUUCUCCUGCCUCAGCUUCCUGAGUAACUGGGAUUACAGGCAAGCGCCACCAUGCCUGGCUAAUUUUGUAUUUUUAGUAGAGACAGGGUUUCACCAUGUUGAUCGGACUGGUCUCGAACUCCCAACCUCAGGUAAUCUUCCCACCUCAGCCUCCCAAAGUGCUGGGAUUACAGGCAUGAGCCACCACACCCGGCCUACUUUUUUUUUUUUUUAAGGCAGGAUCUUGCUCUGUUUCCCAGUCUGGAGUGCAGUGACACGAUCAUGACUCACUGCAGCCUCAACCUCUCAGACUCAAGCAAUCCUCUCACCUCAGCCUCCCAAAUAGAUGGGACUUUUUUUUUCUUUUUAAUUUUUUUAUAGAGAUAGGGUUUCACUAUGUUGCCCAGGCUACUCUCAACCUCCUGGGCUCAAGUGAUCCUCCCACCUUAGCCUCCCAAAGUGUCAGGAUUACAGGCAUGAACCAUCCUGCCCAGCCUAUUUUUGUGCAACUUUUUGAUGAAUAAGACUAGUUUAAUAUUGUUACUUUAGUGAAAACAGCUGUAUCUUCUAAGUAAUCAAUAAAAUAUCCAUGUACUUUAAGGUUCUUAAUGUGAACAUCUAACAUUCACAUGCUGUAAAAAUGGCUAACAGAAAGGUAACUUGAAAUAAUGAUUAGCUCUGUGUAAUAUCUGUUUUCAUAAGUAAUCUAGGUAUAAUGGUUAAAAAAUAAAUUAGGUAAAUGAAAAGGGAAUAAGUAUGUAUAAAUGAACUUUUCAUAUGAUUUGAGAUCUUAAAGUUAUGUUAAAUAAGUAAUAGUUAUUCAUUAAAUGUCUGGGUCAUAGCCAAAUAAGAUAAAAUAUGAAAACAUUAAUUACUGAACAUAGAUUCAAAUUAAUUUACUUUUGGCUUUUUUUUUUUCUUUUUUGAGACAAAGUUUCACUCUUGUCCCCCAGGCUGGAGUGCAAUGGCACAAUCUCGGCUCACUGCAACCUCCCCCUUACAGGUUCAAGCAAUUCUGCCUCAGCCUCCCAAGAAGCUGGGAUUACAGGCGCCUGCCACCACACCCAGCUAAUUUUUGUAUUUUUAGUAGACAGGGUUUCACCAUGUUGGCCAGGCUGGUCUCGAACUCCUGACCUCAGGUGAUCUGCCCGCCUUGGCCUCCCAAAGUGCUGAGAUUACAGGCAUGAGCACCAUGCCCGGCCUUCUUUUUUUUUUUUUUAGGCAGGGUCUCACUCUCACCCAGGCUGGAAUGCAUGAUCACAGCUCACUGCAACCUCUACCUCCCAGGCUUGAGCAGAUCCUCCCAGCUUAGCCUCCCCAGUAGCUAGGUCUACAGGUGUGAACCACCAUGCCCAGCUAAUUUUUUGAUUUUUUUUUUUUUUUUUUUUUUUUUUGAGCCAGAGUUGCGCUCUUGUUACCUGGGCUGGAGUGUAAUGGCGCAAUCUCAGCUAACUGCAUUCUUCGCCUCCCAGGUUCAAGCGAUUCUCCUGCCUCAGCCUCCCGAGAUUCUCCUGCCUCAGCCUCCCGAGUAGCUGGAAUUACAGGCAUGCGCCACCAUGCCCAGCCUUUGAUUUUUUUUUUUUAAGAGAUGGGGUCUCUGUAUGUUGCCCAGGCUUGUCUUGAACUCCUGGGCUCAAGCGGUCCUCUCACCUCAGCCUCCCCAAGUGCUAGGAUUACAGGCAGGAGACACCACACCUGGCCUACUUUUGGCUUCUUAAGUUUUAAAGAAAGAGAAAAGCUAUUUGGGCUUAUUAAUAAAUACGUUCUGUUUCACAUUGGAAAAUUGUUCUAUGAGAAAGCACAUGUUUCUAGAGAUUAUGAAAUACAUAUUCAUAGGAGGUUGAUGUAUGUCAGAUAGUUCAGAGUUUGCUUGCUUCCUGGGCUUUCACUAGAAAUUAGGGUUACUGAGAGUUAAAAAUUCUAAUUAAUGUAUGUGAUUCUGCAUGCAAGAUAUAUAAGAAAUUGUGUUUUUGAUGAGAAAAACUUUGAAGAUGAGAAUUUUUUUAAAGAAAAGAAUAGUUUUGUCUAAAUUCAGAGGUUAUUUAAGGUUAUUUUAAAAGUAAAUUUAGAAAGAAGAUAGCAGCAAGACAGAAAGGAACCAGUAGGAAGAAGAGAGGCUUGCAUAGAAAGUUAUAGGUAUGAAGAUGUAUUUUUGGAAAGGGAGGUUAAAAAGAGAAGAGGUUUUUUUUUUUGGUAUGAGAGAGAAUCUCAAGUGGUCAAAAUCAAAAGAAAAAAAGUAAAUUGUGUCCUAAAGUAAAAUGACUGGUUGUUAAAGAAAGAGCAACUAUAAAUAGGACAAAACCAAAAGUCUGGGCAGGUCACAGACAGUCUGAGCUAGUUGUAAAAGGUUUGUGAAAGAUGACUCUUACGAAAGAAAUUUUGUGUGUGAUAAAGUUGGCUAAAAUUACACUUGGUUUUAGCCAAAAGGCUGAGAAGCGAUGAAGUUGGCUAAAAUUAGAAGAGAAUUAUUUAUAAAUAUUUCUAAAGAUUUAGAUUUAAUUAUAUGUAUAAUUAAAUAAAAACAGCUACAUAUGUAUACAUAUAU
rnacentral:lncRNA from 1 species